rnacentral:misc_RNA from 1 species
UUCGCCGUCUACGUUUCUCUUUCUUCGCGGACGAACACGCGCUGGGCCUGCACGCAGCAGGAUCCAGGGUCCUUAACGGGAUAUGCGUUAGGGGCUUGUAGCUCAGUUGGUUAGAGCGCGCGCUUGAUAAGCGUGAGGUCGGAAGUUCAAGUCUUCCCAGGCCCACCACUUUCAUCGAGUGAGCAUUCGUCUUCUGGUUACGGGGCCAUAGCUCAGCUGGGAGAGCGCGUGCUUUGCAAGCAUGAGGUCGUCGGUUCGAUCCCGUCUGGCUCCACCAGAUGGUUUGAUCACCGAGGUCAUGCACCGUCGUCCGCGAAACAUCACUUCGCAUCCUGCUAGUCUGGAUAGACAGCAGAAUGCGUGUUUUCUGACAUCGUAAAGAGGAGAUCGAUCCGAGUUGGGUCGUGUAGCAGAUUGCUGCGCGGAUCCUUCAUUAUCUCCGGAUCAUUUUCGGCGCUCGACGCUGACCGCAAGGUUGGCAGCGAGUUGUAAAAUGAUCCUUUUAGCGAAGCUUGACCGCCUCGCUAUCGGAACGAUCUUACGAAGCAAGCUGGUCUUUCUAGUCAAUGUCCGGCUGCGACAAUCGUAUCUUCGAGGGUACGUGCCUUUAGUGGCAAUUGCGCAGACAACAUUCUGCCGAGUGUGUGGACAUUGAUAAUGAGAGCAAUCAAGUGCCUUAAGGUGUUCGGUGGAUGCCUUGGCGCUGAGAGGCGAUGAAGGACGUGCUACGCUGCGAUAAGCCGUGGGGAGCUGCGAGAAGCUUUGAUCCGCGGAUUU